ACUGGAACUAGAAGGCGGGACCUAUCUGGGCCGUAUAUAAGCGCCCCCCUGAGGCUUUUCACUUCCUUUCGCGUGCGGUGCCCAAGAGUGGUGGAAGGGCUUAACUGCCUGUCUAGGCCAGAAUGCCUGUUGCCAGGAGUUGGGUAUGUCGAAAAACAUAUGUCACCCCCAGGCGGCCCUUUGAGAAGUCACGCCUUGACCAAGAGCUGAAACUCAUUGGUGAAUAUGGGCUGCGAAACAAGCGUGAAGUGUGGCGAGUGAAGUUCACUUUGGCCAAGAUCCGCAAAGCUGCCCGUGAGUUGCUCACUCUGGAUGAGAAGGAUCAGAGGCGUCUCUUUGAGGGCAAUGCCUUAUUGCGGCGUCUGGUCAGAAUUGGGGUGCUUGAUGAGGGGAAGAUGAAGCUGGAUUACAUCCUGGGGUUGAAAAUUGAGGAUUUCCUGGAAAGGCGUCUCCAAACUCAGGUCUUCAAGCUGGGCCUGGCCAAGUCUAUCCACCACGCCCGGGUGCUCAUCCGCCAAAGACACAUCCGCCUGUGCCAGGAUGUAUGUGCCAAUCUACCAACUCCUUCCCUGGAUUGGAAUCCUGGAUAACUCAGUAGCCCUUCAACUCAGUAGAGGGGCAGCAUGCCAAUCAAAACGCUCAAAGAUUUCGGCAAGGCUCACUGCGGCUGUGCCGUACACCUUGCGAAGGUCUUGCCACAUGGGCAAUUGAGUGUAAGAAAGCAAGUGGUGAACAUUCCUUCCUUCAUUGUUCGGCUGGACUCUCAAAAGCAUAUUGACUUCUCCCUCCGUUCACCGUAUGGUGGUGGCCGGCCAGGUCGUGUCAAGAGGAAGAACGCCAA